rnacentral:ncRNA from 1 species
UUCAAUCUGCCACCGGGUAGAGAUGCGAAAGCACCGUCAGUACAUCGUUAGGUCUUUGAAGAUGUACCUGCGGUGCUUUUUCGGUA